rnacentral:rRNA from 1 species
UAGGGAAUCUUCCACAAUGGGCGAAAGCCUGAUGGAGCAACGCCGCGUGUGUGAAGAAGGUUUUCGGAUCGUAAAGCUCUGUUGUAAGUCAAGAACGAGUGUGAGAGUGGAAAGUUCACACUGUGACGGUAGCUUACCAGAAAGGGACGGCUAACUACGUGCCAGCAGCCGCGGUAAUACGUAGGUCCCGAGCGUUGUCCGGAUUUAUUGGGCGUAAAGCGAGCGCAGGCGGUUUGAUAAGUCUGAAGUUAAAGGCUGUGGCUCAACCAUAGUUCGCUUUGGAAACUGUCAAACUUGAGUGCAGAAGGGGAGAGUGGAAUUCCAUGUGUAGCGGUGAAAUGCGUAGAUAUAUGGAGGAACACCGGUGGCGAAAGCGGCUCUCUGGUCUGUAACUGACGCUGAGGCUCGAAAGCGUGGGGAGCGAACAGGAUUAGAUACCCUGGUAGUCCACGCCGUAAACGAUGAGUGCUAGGUGUUGGAUCCUUUCCGGGAUUCAGUGCCGCAGCUAACGCAUUAAGCACUCCGCCUGGGGAGUACGACCGCAAGGUUG